rnacentral:rRNA from 1 species
AACCUCCGCAAUGUGAGAAAUCGCGACGGGGGGAUCCCAAGUGCCAUUCUUAACGGGAUGGCUUUUCAUUAGUGUAAAGAGCUUUUGGAAUAAGGGCUGGGCAAGACCGGUGCCAGCCGCCGCGGUAACACCGGCAGCUCUAGUGGUAGCAGUUUUUAUUGGGCCUAAAGCGUCCGUAGCCGGUUUAAUAAGUCUCUGGUGAAAUCCUGUAGCUUAACUGUGGGAAUUGCUGGAGAUACUAUUAAACUUGAGACCGGGAGAGGUUAGAGGUACUCCCAGGGUAGAGGUGAAAUUCUGUAAUCCUGGGAGGACCGCCUGUUGCGAAGGCGUCUAACUGGAACGGUUCUGACGGUGAGGGACGAAAGUUAGGGGCGCGAAACCGGAUUAGAUACCCGGGUAGUCCUAACUGUAAACGAUGCGGACUUGGUGUUGGGGUGGCUUUGAGCUGCUUCAGUGCCGAAGGGAAGCUGUUAAGUCCGCCGCCUGGGAAGUACGGUCGCAAGACUGAAACUUAAAGGAAUU